rnacentral:rRNA from 1 species
AUUGAACGCUGGCGGAAUGCUUUACACAUGCAAGUCGAACGGCAGCACGGACUUCGGUCUGGUGGCGAGUGGCGAACGGGUGAGUAAUGUAUCGGAACGUGCCCAGUCGUGGGGGAUAACGUAGUGAAAAUUACGCUAAUACCGCAUACGAUCUAUGGAUGAAAGCGGGGGAUCGCAAGACCUCGCGCGAUUGGAGCGGCCGAUAUCAGACUAGGUAGUUGGUGGGGUAAAGGCCCACCAAGCCGACGAUCUGUAGCUGGUCUGAGAGGACGGACAGCCAAACUGGGACUGAGACACGGUCCAGACUCCUACGGGAGGUAGCAGUGGGGAAUUUUGGACAAUGGGCGAAAGCAUGAUCCUGCCAUUCCGCGUGCAGGAUGAAGGCCCUCGGGUUGUAAACUGCUUUUGUACAGAACGAAAAGGUUUCUACUAAUACUAGGAGCUCAUGACGGUACUGUAAGAAUAAGCACCGGCUAACUACGUGCCAGCCGCCGCAGUAA